UACGGAGGGGACUAGCGUUGUUCGGAAUUACUGGGCGUAAAGCGCACGUAGGCGGAUUUGUAAGUCAGGGGUGAAAUCCCGGGGCUCAACCUCGGAACUGCCUUUGAUACUGCAAAUCUCGAGUCCGGAAGAGGUGAGUGGAAUUCCUAGUGUAGAGGUGAAAUUCGUAGAUAUUAGGAAGAACACCAGUGGCGAAGGCGGCUUACUGGUCCGGUACUGACGCUGAGGUGCGAAAGCGUGGGGAGCAAACAGG
rnacentral:rRNA from 1 species